rnacentral:rRNA from 1 species
CCUACGGGUGGCUGCAGUCGAGAAUCAUUCACAAUGGGGGAAACCCUGAUGGUGCGACGCCGCGUGGGGGAAUGAAGGUCUUCGGAUUGUAAACCCCUGUCAUGUGGGAGCAAAUUAAAAAGAUAGUACCACAAGAGGAAGAGACGGCUAACUCUGUGCCAGCAGCCGCGGUAAUACAGAGGUCUCAAGCGUUGUUCGGAAUCACUGGGCGUAAAGCGUGCGUAGGCUGUUUCGUAAGCAGUGUGGGAAAGGCGCGGGCCAAAUCCGCGGACGGCAAAUGAUACAGCGAGACUAGGGUAAUGUAGGGGGAACCGGAAUUCUCGGGGUAGGAGUGAAAGGCGUAGAUAUCGAGAGGAACACUCGUGGCGAAGGCGGGUGCCUGGACAUUAACUGACGCUGAGGGACGAAGGCCAGGGGAGCGAAAGGGAUUAGAUACCCCUGUAGUC